rnacentral:rRNA from 1 species
GUGAUUCGGGGUGCAGCAGGCGCGAAACCUUUUCAAUGCGCGCAAGCGUGAGAAGGGAAUUCCGAGUGCUUAAGUUUUACUUAGGCUUUUGCUAAGUGUAAAAAGCUUGGCGAAUAAGGGGUGGGUAAGACUGGUGCCAGCCGCCGCGGUAACACCAGCGCCUCGAGUGGGGAUCGCGAUUAUUGGGCCUAAAGCGUCCGUAGCAGGCUUUGUAGAUCCUUUGUGAAAUGGGCAGGCUUAACCUGUCCGCGGGCAGAGGAGACCGCAGAGCUCGAGACCGGGAGAGGUCAGAAGUAUUCCUAGGGUACCGGUAAAAUGGGUUAAUCCUGGGAGGACUACCAAUGGCGAAGGCAUCUGACCAGAACGGUUCUGACUGUGAGGGACGAAAGCUAGGGGAGCAAAACGGAUUAGAUACCCGAGUAGUCCUAGCCGUAAACGCUGCGAGCAAGGUAUUGCGCCUCCCAUGAGGAUGCGCAGUGUCGAAGAGAAGUCGUUAAGCUCGCCGCCAGGGAAGUACGGUCGCAAGGCUGAAACUUUAAGGAAUUGGCGGGGGAGCACAAUCGAAU